rnacentral:lncRNA from 1 species
GUUUAUUCAAGUAGCAUUAGUCUUUAAUUCGAAAGGAACUCUGUACAGACUAAACCUACACCCUCCUUAAAGGUUUGAGGUGAUUUUUUAUUUAUUUUAGAAGAUGUAUCAAAACAACACUGCUAAAAAUUAGAAGAGUAAUAAUAAGUAUAAUCUCAUAUUUAAAUGGUAUCAAAUGUAGCUCUUCUCAGCAAUACGAUACAAGUCAAUUCCACAGGACUCAUGAUGAAAAAUGCUAUCCCUGCCUCCAGAGAGAAAAUUUAUGGCAUCUAAACAUAUAUAAGAACAUACCAUUUUCACUUUCUUUUUUUUCAUGUUUUUUUUUUUCUUUUGGUCUGUUUCUUCUUUCACUACAUGACUAACAUGGAAAUAAUUUGCAUGGUUGCACACAUAUAAUCUCUAUCAAAUUGCUUACCAUCUUAGAAGGGAAGUGGAAAAGAAAGCAAACUUGAAACUCAAAAAAUUUUAAAUGAGUGUUAAAAUGUCUUUAUGUAUAAUUGGAAAAAAUAAAUACUAUUAAAAAUGUAAAAAGAUAAAAUGGUGUCAAAGUUUAGUAUAUUCUAGAACUUCUCCUAUUUUAUCUUCAUCUAAAUAACCUAAUAUAAUUAUUGAUUAAUAAGAAUUGUUUCCUGGCAAAAAUGAGCAGUAACAUCAAGCAAAAUUGAAAGGAAGUGUAGAGGUUUUCUAAUUGCCUGAUGCCUUACUACCUUUUUACAGUAGGACUGGGCAAAUUUGCUUAGGAUUUAAGAAUCAGUCCUAAAAAUCAGGAGCUGACAAAAUUUUCAGUUUCUAAGGAAAGUGUGAGUGCGUGCACAUGUGCACCCCCACCACCACAAGAGAUUCCUUUAAAUCUAUCUCAGGUCAAAAUCAAAUUUGGCUCCUUAGGGUUUUACUGGACAGAUUUUCUCAACAGCUCAAAAAAGCUUCUAAGUAUAUUGAGUUAUGGUAUUUCCUGGGACCAUAUGUAACACUGGCAGUUGACCAGUAAUCAUUACUCUAGCUCCCUUAUCAGGCAAUUCUCUUUUUUCCUCUCUUCCCUUCAGCUUUGGCAAGGAGAAUCUGAACCCCCGCUUAUGCUAGGGCAAAUAAACCUGAUAUUCCAGACAAAUGAAUUUCCAUUGCUUCCAAGUGGCACUAUCUAAUAA